CCUACGGGAGGCAGCAGUGGGGAAUAUUGCACAAUGGGGGAAACCCUGAUGCAGCGACGCCGCGUGAGGGAAGAAGGUUUUCGGAUUGUAAACCUCUGUCCUUGGUGACGAAAAUGACGGUAGCCAAGGAGGAAGCCACGGCUAACUACGUGCCAGCAGCCGCGGUAAUACGUAGGUGGCAAGCGUUGUCCGGAAUUACUGGGUGUAAAGGGAGCGUAGGCGGGAAGAUAAGUUGGACGUUUAAUCUAUCGGCUCAACCGAUAGUCGCGUUCAAAACUGUUUUUCUUGAGUGAAGUAGAGGUAAGCGGAAUUCCUAGUGUAGCGGUGAAAUGCGUAAAUAUUAGGAGGAACACCAGUGGCGAAGGCGGCUUACUGGGCUUUAACUGACGCUGAGGCUCGAAAGCGUGGGUAGCAAACAGGAUUA
rnacentral:rRNA from 1 species